rnacentral:ncRNA from 1 species
GGCUCCACCUUGGGGAGUCCCGUGCAAGGGGCUGAGAUACUGCUGGCGAUGCAGCGCAGUGACCCGUUGAACCUGAUCCAGUUCACGCUGGCGGAGGGAUGGUGUGUGAUGUGCGC